UAGGGAAUCUUCGGCAAUGGACGAAAGUCUGACCGAGCAACGCCGCGUGAGUGAAGAAGGUUUUCGGAUCGUAAAACUCUGUUGUUAGAGAAGAACAAGGACGUUAGUAACUGAACGUCCCCUGACGGUAUCUAACCAGAAAGCCACGGCUAACUACGUGCCAGCAGCCGCGGUAAUACGUAGGUGGCAAGCGUUGUCCGGAUUUAUUGGGCGUAAAGCGAGCGCAGGCGGUUUCUUAAGUCUGAUGUGAAAGCCCCCGGCUCAACCGGGGAGGGUCAUUGGAAACUGGGCGACUUGAGGGCAGAAGAGGAGAGUGGAAUUCCAGGUGUAGCGGUGAAAUGCGUAGAUAUAUGGAGGAACACCAGUGGAGAAGGCGGCUCUCUGGUCUGUAACUGACGCUGAGGGUCGAAAUCGUGGGGAGCAAACAGG
rnacentral:rRNA from 1 species